AGUGUGCAAUGUCACUGGUGGUUUGACAGUGAGUGUGUAAGGGACAGGUGAGUGUAGUUCUCGGUUACUGUGAUUCUCUGGAGGGCGUGCUCCUAAUUUGCAGUCUCUGUGGGGAAAAUUAGUAAGCACACAGGUAGCACAGCUAGAGAACGGAGGGAUGAAAG